rnacentral:lncRNA from 1 species
AUCAGCCCAUAACCCAUUCUUCUUCUUCAACAUUCGGCCAAGCAAGAAACAAGAGAGAGAAAGGAGAAAAUAAAACCCUAGCCAAGAAAUUUAAAGGGAAAAUUGGUGGAAAUUCAAAAAUCAAGUGAAAAAAAAGGUAACAUUUCUUAAAUUUGUCUUGUACUUUACCUUUCCCAUGCAUUUUCCAUCAUUUUCCGUGGUUGAAUCAUGUGAUUUGAGGAUGAUUUCAAUUCUAGUCAUAUGGGUUUAGAGAGAGAAAGUUGUUAGAUAAAUUUGAUUUUGAGCUAUGUUAGUGUUUAGUGUUAGUUUAGCAUAUUUAUGAGUAAAACAACAAGAAAAAUAUUUAUUUUCUCCUUGAAUUUCUCUAGGUCGAAUCUAGCCAAUGGUAUGUGAGGAUGAGGUUGACUUUAUUUUAAGAGAAUUGGGUGAAAAAAUGAUGAAUUAUGAGGUUGGAAAUUAAAUGGGAAUUUUCGGUGCAAUAAAUUGAAAUUUUUACCCACUAGGGGUAAAAGCGUAAUUUAUAGUCUGAACUGAUAAAUUGGACCAAAUUCACAGUCAUUGAGGUAUUGUGGAUAUAAUUGGAUGAUUGAAAUUGAAAUAGAUGGAAUUGGAGUUGAAUUGGGGAUUUUAGAAAUUUGCACCGUGUAUAGGCGAGUUAGGUCGGACAUCGCAAUUAAGCAAUUGUCCAGACAUUUCAAACCCUAUCUAGUGCAUACGCAUGGAUAAGAGCCUGAAAUAAUUUAUGAUAAAUUGACACAAUUUAUUGAAUUUUGUAUCAUGGAUUAUGGAUAGGUGGUGAGUCAAUUAUUUCGGGUAAGAGAUGCACCCGAGGGAAGAGGAUAGGAGUAUUUCUACUCCUACUACUGUGAGUAACCUUAUCAUCAUUUUAAUUAUCUAAAGUAUGAUUUUAAUCGAUUUUGGUGGAAUUUUAUGAAAAUGAGUUGAAAUGGUUAAUUUUUGGUUUUACAAAUAAAAUAUGUUUAAAUAAAAUGAUUUUAUAAAUUGUCUUGAAACGAAAUAAUGAUUUUGAAAAAUAGAGUAAUUGGAGACCACUGGUAUGUUGUAGAUUUAUGAUUUGAAUAAAUGGCUUAUGAUAAUAUUUGAAUGAAUGGCUGAAUUGGUAUUUAUGUUGAAAUAUAUGAAAUUUGUAUUUAGCCUUGACAGGCUGUGAAUUACAAUAAUUGUCAUGUCAUGCUAGAAUGAAUUUUAUUGUAUGGUGGGUUAUUUAACUAGCCACUGCAGUAGGUGGGUUUCCGUGGGCCAACCUAUUAGAGGGGCACGGUAAACCCCGUUAUAUCUUACCUUAGUAUGAGAGGCGCGGGUGGAUAACUCCUGAGGCUAACAGUUUUAGAGUUCACUUCACGCCGAACCACCUCGUGAUGAUGAACUCUGCUAACGCCAAGGAACGGCUAUAUGUUUCAAAAUAAAAAUAUGAUCUAUGCGAAAUGUGAAUUUUUUUAACAGCCUUGACGGAUUCGGUCGGGAUAACCCUCGAUCAAGGUAUCCUUGAUAGCUGAGUAUGAUAAUGAAUUCGGCACGAGCCAAAGUUUUAAGAAGUUCAUAAGCCAUACUGAUUACUUGAUUUAAAUAAAUUGAUUUCAUUUGGUUGAAAUAAGUCGAUAAAUGAUAAAUUACUAUUUAAUGAAAUGUUUUUAUAGUCUCAUUUUACUCGCCUUUAGAUAUUUUAAAUGAUAUUUGUUUACUCACUGGGAUUCUAUAAUCUCAACACCCUCAUUUCUACCCAUUUCAGGCUCAGGAUAGUCGGUAGAUAGCUCAUUU